rnacentral:misc_RNA from 1 species
UGAAGAAAAAGCAUCGGCUAACUCCGUGCCAGCAGCCGCGGUAAUACGGAGGAUGCAAGCGUUAUCCGGAAUCAUUGGGCGUAAAGGGUCCGCAGGUGGCGAAUAAAGUCUGCUGUUAAAGACCGGGGCUAAACUCCGGAAAGGCAGUGGAAACUGAUUAGCUAGAGUACGGUAGGGGUAGAGGGAAUUCCCAGUGUAGCGGUGAAAUGCGUAGAUAUUGGGAAGAACACCGGUGGCGAAAGCGCUCUACUAGGCCGAAACUGACACUGAGGGACGAAAGCUAGGGUAGCGAAAGGGAUUAGAUACCCCUGUAGUCUUAGCGGUAAACGAUGGAUACUAGGUGUAGCUUGUAUCGGCCCGAGCUGUGCCGAAGCUAACGCGAUAAGUAUCCCGCCUGGGGAGUACGCACGCAAGUGUGAAACUCAAAGGAAUUGACGGGGGCCCGCACAAGCGGUGGAGUAUGUGGUUUAAUUCGAUGCAACGCGAAGAACCUUACCAGGGCUUGACAUGUCGCGAAUCUAGCGGAAACGUUAGAGUGCCUUAGGGAAUGCGAGCACAGGUGGUGCAUGGCUGUCGUCAGCUCGUGUCGUGAGAUGUUGGGUUAAGUCCCGCAACGAGCGCAACCCUCGCCCUUAGUUGCCAAUAUUAAGUUAGGCACUCUAGGGAGACUGCCGGGGACAACUCGGAGGAAGGUGGGGAUGACGUCAAGUCAGCAUGCCCCUUACGUCCUGGGCGACACACGUACUACAAUGGUUGGGACAAAGGGCAGCAAACUCGCGAGAGUAAGCGAAUCUCAUCAAACCCAGCCACAGUUCAGAUUGCAGGCUGCAACUCGCCUGCAUGAAGUAGGAAUCGCUAGUAAUCGCAGGUCAGCAUACUGCGGUGAAUUCGUUCCCGGGCCUUGUACACACCGCCCGUCACACCAUGGAAGCUGGCUACGCCCGAAGUCGUUACCCUAACCCGGUUUUGGGAGGGGGAUGCCGAAGGUAGAGCUAGUGACUGGGGUGAAGUCGUAACAAGGUAGCCGUACCGGAAGGUGUGGCUGGAUCACCUCCUUUACAGGGAGACCUAGUCUAAUUACCAAUAGAUAAAAAAGUUGGUAAUUCGCAAGAAUCCUUAGGUCGUGAGGGGAGCAAGAAAGAACUUUCAAACUGUAAUGGGUGAGGGUCAAUGGGCUAUUAGCUCAGGUGGUUAGAGCGCACCCCUGAUAAGGGUGAGGUCCCUGGUUCUAGUCCAGGAUGGCCCACCUAAAAUACACAGGCAUCCUGCCUGUGCCACAAAAAAAGGAAAAAGUUUUGGCAUUGUCUCUUGUAAUCAAGAGCAAGAGAUAAUGCUGGAAUAGAUU